rnacentral:misc_RNA from 1 species
GAUGAAGAACGUAGCGAAAUGCGAUAAGUAGUGUGAAUUGCAGAAUUCAGUGAAUCAUCGAAUCUUUGAACGCACAUUGCGCCUCCUGGUAUUCCGGGAGGCAUGCCUGUUCGAGCGUCAUUAAAAUCACUCAAGCUUAGGUUUACCUAUUGCUUGGUCUUGGAGAUGGAAGCCAAUUCAUUGGAAUCCUCUUCGAAAUCCAAUGGCGAAGACCCUUGCUCUCCCAAGUGUAGUAAUAACUUAUGUCACUGAAGGAAGCGAGAAAUCUUCCGCCGUAACCCCCAUAUUUUCUAUGAUUGACCUCGGAUCAGGGAGGGAUACCCGCUGAACUUAAGCAUAUCAAUAAGCGGAGGA